CGUUAUGAAGGAAAAAUUUCUAAAAUGCUAUUCUCGUCGUAUAACUACUUAUUUACUAAAUGAAUACGCACGUGUGGUCUCGUGUUACAAUCGCAGAUGCAUGCAAACAUAUACACAUAAAUGAAGUGAUUGAGUUUCUUUGACUAUUUAGAGGGAUAUUUUAAAGGUAUGAU
rnacentral:lncRNA from 1 species